rnacentral:rRNA from 1 species
UACGAAGGGGACUAGCGUUGUUCGGAAUCACUGGGCGUAAAGCGCACGUAGGCGGAUAUGUCAGUCAGGGUGAAAUCCCGGGGCUCAACCUCGGAACUGCCUUUGAUACAGCAUGUCUUGAGUCCGAUAGAGGUGGGUGGAAUUCCUAGUGUAGAGGUGAAAAUUCGUAGAUAUUAGGAAGAACACCGGUGGCGAAGGCGGCCCACUGGAUCGGUACUGACGCUGAGGUGCGAAAGCGUGGGGAGCAAACAGG